rnacentral:tRNA from 1 species
GCGGGUGUAGUCUAGGGGUAGGACACAAGCCUCCCAAGCUUGUGACCCGGGUUCGAAUCCCGGCACCCGCA